CAGCUGGUGAAGGAAUAGCUUGCGUAAUGAGUUCAGCAGAAGUGCAGUUCCACCAGGUGUUUGCUAAUGGCUGCUUGCUAGUCUGAAGGAGCAGAAUGGGU